GUCCAGACUCCUACGGGAGGCAGCAGUGGGGGAUAUUGCACAAUGGGGGGGACCCUGAUGCAGCGACGCCGCGUGGGUGAAGAAGCGCCUCGGCGCGUAAAGCCCUGUCAGCAGGGAAGAAAAUGACGGUACCUGAAGAAGAAGCCCCGGCUAGCUACGUGCCAGCAGCCGCGGUAAUACGUAGGGGGCAAGCGUUAUCCGGAUUUACUGGGUGUAAAGGGGGCGCAGACGGCGAUGCAAGCCAGGAGUGAAAGCCCGGGGCCCAACCCCGGGACUGCUCUUGGAACUGCGUGGCUGGAGUGCAGGAGGGGCAGGCGGAAUUCCUGGUGUAGCGGUGAAAUGCGUAGAUAUCAGGAGGAACACCAGUGGCGAAGGCGACUUUCUGGACUGUACCUGACGCUGAGGCGCGAAAGCGUGGGUAGCGAACGGGAUUAGAUACCCGGGUAU
rnacentral:rRNA from 1 species